rnacentral:misc_RNA from 1 species
AACCUAGCACACCUGCGGUGUGUACCUGCGGAGGGAUCAUUAACGAAUAUCUAUGGCGUUGGUUGUAGCUGGCUCCUAGGAGCAUUUGUGCACACCCGUCAUUCAUAUCAUCUUUCCACCUGUGAACUAUGUGUAGGCUUGGAUACCUCUCGCUUUGGUGACAAGGCGGAUGCAAGGAUUGCUGCGUCGACAAGGCCAGCUCUCUUUGAAUUACCAGGUCUAUGUCUUUUUACACACUCC